rnacentral:rRNA from 3 species
UCAUGACUGGGGUGAAGUCGUAACAAGGUAACCGUAGGGGAACCUGCGGUUGGAUCACCUCCUUACCUAAAGA